GAUGAACGCUGGCGGCGUGCCUAAUACAUGCAAGUCGAGCGAACAGACGAGGAGCUUGCUCCUCUGACGUUAGCGGCGGACGGGUGAGUAACACGUGGCUAACCUACCUCUAAGACUGGGAUAACUUCGGGAAACCGGAGCUAAUACCGGAUAAUAUAUUGAACCGCAUGGUUCAAUAGUGAAAGACGGUUUUGCUGUCACUUAUAGAUGGAUUCGCGCCGCAUUAGCUUGUUGGUAAGGUAACGGCUUACCAAGGCAACGAUGCGUAGCCGACCUGAGAGGGUGGUCGGCCACACUGGAGCGGAGACACGGUCCAGACUCCUACGGGAGGCAGCAGUAGGGAAUCUUCCGCAAUGGGCGAAGGCCGGACGAAGCAACGCCGCGUGAGUGGUGAAGGUCUUCGGAUCGUAGAGCUCUGUUAUUAGGGGAGAACAAAUGUGUAAGUGACUGUGCACGUCUUGACGGUACCUAAUCAGAAAGCCACGGCUAACUACGUG
rnacentral:rRNA from 1 species